GUCUCUGUGGUUUCAUUUUUAACAUAGAGUGAACACUCUGUUAUCAUCUCUGCACAUUGUCAACAGCUUACCAACAAAUAACUCUAAGGAUGUGGAAAAUAAAUUUAAUGAGGUUAGGAUAAGUUAAUGCAUUUCACUAGAAAUACAUUAACUCUUCUGGUUCACGUUUGUAAAAGGAUUGAUUUACAGGGAGGUUUGUUGUCAAAAGGAUUUCCAACAUCAAAGAGGCAGAGGAGGAGGAGGAGACCAUUAACAUCAGUUUGGACAGUCGGAUCCAAAUGGAUAUCUCUCUCAUCAACUGGAUUUUUUAUUUUACCAGUUGGAUAAAAUGUUAUAUAACUACACACAGUCUGCAGGAUGGGUUCAGUGUGAUAGAGACACUCUGGGAGGAAGAAAAGUCAGACUUCAUCUGCACAGAGUCACAGCUCAAGACUCUGGAAAAUGCCCGCUCCUUAAACCAUUAGGAAAACAAAUGGUCGAGCAGAUAAGACUUUUUCCAUUGCUUUUUUUCUUGGUGGGGUAGUUAAAGGGUUAACUGCUUACUGUCUGCACUCAUAAACAAAGGUUUACCAUUUUGUCUAUGACAUUAUCUACAGAUGAGUCGGAAGGGAAAAAAAAUACUAUGUGCAGUUCUUAAGCCUGAGAAUAUACUUCACAGCUUUCGCAAGUAUUUGUUGACUUUAGCGCUGCAAAAUGUCACAGUUUUGUUUCAUAUUAUCUGUGAUGGCUAACUAAGACAGAGUACAUCCUGGACAGCUCACUAGUUCCCACACGGCCUGCGCUUUUCUGCCAGCCGAACACACAAACACCAACAGCAACAAUAACCAGGACCCAGUGCAGACUUUUUAUGUCGGUGAGGCGUGAUUGCGGAUGCCGUGCAGGUGCAUCCACCUCCCCUGCAGCAGCACCGCAGACCACGCCCCCCCACAGGCAUAAAGGUAUAUUUGAUGUUAUUUUGAGAAGUGGUGUAAAUUGACAUUGUGAGCUGUAACAGAACUCUGUAUUUUUAUUUUAUUUAUUUAUUUAUUUAUUUUUACAUUUGUACAUAUGUGAAGAAACUUAAAUAUAACUGUUUGUGUCUCGAAAAGAAACAGCAGAAAUUUAAAUAACUGCUUUAGGUAGUCUGCAUUCAGUCAGUUGUGUUAAUGCUAAACAACAUGUUUUAAAAUAAGAAAAAGAUUAAAGAUUAAAAAGCAGAGAAGCUGACCAGUCUCUGUAACUCCCUCUGUUUUACUGCUUUUAUCAUUUUCAUUUGACUAUUACAGCCAUGUCAUGAUAGUGGUAUGGCAAUUCAAUGCUGUUUUGCAUUUUAAUUUUCGCUGAAGGAGAAUUCAGGACAGAUGAUUUACAGAGCAGGUGCCAGGACAGCUCACCUGGUUGAGUCAGCAGUGUGUGCACUGCAGGCUAAAGCCCAUCUGUGUAGGGGCCUGGGUUGAAGUCUUUCCCAGACCAUUUCCUGUCUGUGGAAAACAACAUUAUACUCACAAUGAUUACCUUGUGUCCAACUGUAAAAGAUUUACUGCAUUAAAUGAAAGUGUGACAUUACGGUUUUACUGAGGUUUUACAGAAAUUUGUUUUGGAUUAUGUAUCAGUUCUUUAUAUCUACUUACUGUAUACUGUCUCUUUCAAUCCUGCAGCUCAACACUAGGAUGGAAUCAGCAUCAAUUCAGCUAAACCCAAGAAAAUUGUUCAAGCAAAAAAAUUGUAAAGUCAGCUACAUAUCAGUGAAUCAGAACAAAGACAGCAGCCACAGUCCACCUGAUGAGCAUGUAGCACUUCAAUCUAGUGACAUCCUAUAAUGACACAAUAAAAGCAGUAAAUCACCAAAUGUGUCCAAGCCUUUCAUUUCAUAAUAAGAGUGACAGGAAAUAUAAUGAAUGUCAGCUCACUGUUUAGAUUUAAAACAUUAAGACACCACAGUGCUACCACUGAAAGUCAUGAGGAUCUGAACUGUAAUCAAACACGUCUGAACUCUCUGCUGUUCAAACCACGAGGGCGUGUCAGCACCUGGAGUCAAAGCAUAAAAAUCCACAGAGGUCACACAGAAGAAAGUGAGCCGCAGACUGAAGCAUGGUGGUGAUCAGCUGUUGCAGCUGAUCAACCUCAGAGACCGACACUGAGUCCUCCAGAGAGCUGGAGAAGCAUGAGUUUGUACGUUGGACCGGGGCUGGGAGUAGCUGCUGUAGUUUCCAUGAUUAUUGGAAAGGAGAAAAAGCCACGAAACCCAGCAGGGAGUGCCUCAGAGAGACAACCCAUCAGGACUAAGGGGACUUUUUCUGAAGGACCUGCUUCCUAUGAGGACACAUCAUUUCAGAUGUACUUAUAGACAUGAACCUCUCUCCCAAAAACAUCUGUUUGAAAUGUCAGACAGCAAUUUAUGAUCUAAAACAGAAAACUGUAGUUUUUCUGUUUCAUUAUGUUUGUGCCACACUUGGUUUGACUGUUAUAUAACUCCAGCUGUUUCCCCUGAUGUGUAAAGAAAGAAACGAUGAUCAAACAUUUACUGUUUUAUUAUAAAUUUCAUUACAUCUUUGACAUUCUCAUUUAAUCCCCAUAUUACUGUUUUAAGUAAUGGUAAUGUUAAACUUGUUUUGAAUCCCACUCUAUCUUGUUUUGAGAGAUCAAGGAAUUCUUUCAUGUCCUAACUGACAUGGAUAUGGUUUGGUUAGUGUUGCUUUUUCAUUUUGUUUGAUAUUUAUUGUGUUGCUUAGGGUGUUUUACCGAAGCAGUUUGCAACAUUGGUUUCAAUAAGUGCCAUAAAAUAAUAAUAAUGUUAAUGAUAAUGAUAAUAAUAACAAUAAUAAUAAUAAUGAUAAUAUAUUUGAUUGGAUACAGUGAAGUGGUGAGCUUAUAGCACCAUCAUCUGGCCAAGAGGGUGAAUUUCACUUAGUUCCAUAAGUGGAGGAAAAUACUUAUUUUCAUGGAUAUUUUUCUUUCCCCAUAAAAGCAAAUCAAUCCAUGCCUAAAUUAUUUUGAUGAAGUUCUUGUUGCUGUUAUGCUCCUCCUCUAUAAUGCAUAAAGAACUGUAUGUUGUAUCUUCAUGCAGGAACAACAUCUCAUAUUGAUCUCAGAAUCUGUUUCCAGACAUGAUUUGUGUCCUGCAGGCAGCGUCUUGAAAUCUCAGUGUAGUUCAAAAUUUAGACUGGAUUUAAAACAAGAAGAAAGCAUUGGGCAUGAGACAUGAAAUUCGUCCAGUUCACGAACUCCAGCUCAAAGAAAUCGAGUUCAUCAACCUGUGUGUGUUGAUUUGAGAAAGAAAUGAAAUAAAAGCAGCAGCAGCAGUUUAGUUGGAGUUUGUCGAAACCAUAAGUUACAGAAACCUGCAGCAGAAUUUUAGAGAAUGAAAAAUCGAACCAUCUGCUCAGCUCAUACCUUUCUCUAUGGAAUGUGCAUGUACCAAAGUCUAAUAACAACUGUUGUAUGUGCAUAAAGAAAGGACUAUUUUCUUACUGCAUGUUUGUUAUUGCAAAUCCUGUAAACCACGUCAUUAAUAAAGUUUAUUGUUGUUUGUAAAAACAAAAGGGUCGUGACAGUGUGCUCCUUAAAGGAACACAUACACUUUGAGGAAACAGGAAGCAAAUGAGGUGUGUUAUCUGCCGUAACAAAGUCCAGUCCCUACUGUCAGGAUUAAAUAACAGCACAUUUCCUUCUUUGGUCUUGUUGACUCCAGGCACUUGUUAAAGUUUAACCACUGAAUACAGCUGAUGGGAAAACAGCGUAUUUAUAGGCUAAAUCCUCUGGUGGAUUAAAGGCUGUACAAACUGAAGAGAGCAGAAGUUGUUUUUUGUUUUUUUUAAAGUUCCCAUUUGGUGGCAGGAUGAGUCCAGCUUAGAAAUACAGGACACACAUGGGAGCAUAACCUACAUCAUCAUCCUUUCUGCA